CGUGAGAAGUUUGCCUUUAGGAGGGGAUAACAGAGUGAAACGCUGCUAAUACCCCAUAUGCUUUCGAGUGAAAUGGAUUUAUUCGCCUAAAGAGAAGGCUACGACGGCUGACUUUAGCUUGUUCGGUAAGGUAAUGGCUUACCAAGGCGACGAUCAGUAUCGUGGUUUGAGAGGACGAUCAGACACACUGGAACUGAGACUACGGUCCAGGACUCCUACGGGAGGCAGCAGUGGGGAAUUUUCCGCAAUGGGCGAAAGCCUGACGGAGCAAUACCGGCGUGAGGGAUGACGGCCUAGUGG
rnacentral:rRNA from 1 species